CGCCAUGUACCGCCCGGGACCGGAGGUCACCGUCGACGAGAGACUGGUGCCGUUCAGAGGAGGAAGAGGAGGUGCGCGAGGUUGCCCGCCAUGUACCGCCCGGGACCGGAGGUCACCGUCGACGAGAGACUGGUGCCGUUCAGAGGAAGGUGUCUGUUCAGACAGUACAUGCCCAGCAAACCAGCCAGGUACGGGAUCAAGAUAUGGGUGGCAUGCGAUGCGUGUUCCAGCUACACGUGGAAGAUGCAAGUCUACACCGGCAAGCCCGGCAAGCCAGACAAGCGCGGCCCUCCCGAAAAGCACCUGUCCACUUGAGUGGUCGUGGACCUCACCGAGGGAUUGACGCCGGGACGCAACGUCACAUGCGACAACUUUUUCACCUCGCGCGAGCUUGCCGACAGGCUCCAUCGCGAAAGAGGCCACACCACGUGCUGGGCACUCUGCGAUCAAACAGACCCGAGAUCCCCAGAGAGCUGCGCUGUGUCAAGGGCAGGGCCGUGGGCUCCGUCGAAUCCGUAGUACUUGGUGGCUCCGUGGGACGAGGAGGAGGAGGAAGAGGGCCCGACAUGAUCAUCCUCUCCUACGUGGCCAAGAAGAACAAGAACGUGCUGCUCCUCACCACAGCUACUCGCUACCAACACCACCACCACUCCGGCCCCAGCCUAGCCGCCGCAUCAGCAGCAGCAGCAGCAACAGCAGCAGAAGCAGCGGCGGCAGUGCAAAACCGCCCUUGGUGCUGCAUUACAACCGCACCAAGGGAGGCGUCGACAACCUGGACAAGGUCGUGAGCAC
ensembl:lncRNA